rnacentral:lncRNA from 1 species
UUAAUAUUUUCUUUGUAAAAAUAUUAAUAUUAAUUCAUUUGGGCCUAAAACAAUUUAGCAACAAGUCCACAAAACCAUUUUAGCUAUGAGCCCAACUUCUUUAAACUUGGGCCAAUAUUUAAUUUGCUGUCAAUGAAUUUUUGUUCAUUUCAACACGUUGUCUAGAGUGUCUAGGACAAGUUUGUAUACUUCUUGUAAUUAUCGUUCUAUAGUGGAUUUUCCUUGGACUAUCAGAUCCCGUGGAUUUUCCCCAGAGGUGGGGUUUUACCACGUAAAAUAACUUCUGUGUUUUUAUUUGUUUAUACGUUCUGUACUGUAGAGGAUUGAUACAUCGUAUCAAUCCCUUUGGCGUGUUUUUAUAUAUUACUGUAUUACUCUUGACUACUCAAAACGCAUACUUUACUCUUUUAGUGUUUCAAGCCAUCCUAUAGGCAUUUUCAACAUGAAAAUAUUCUCUUUGACUCAGGCUCAUGUAACAUUUGUUUGUGGAACAUUUGUUUGUUGCAAAAAUGGUGGCGGGAGUGGCUGGGCACUACAAUUGUGAAAGAGAUGUUGACAUUUGUGUUGGGACUUUGAGCAAGGCUGCAGGUUGCCAUGGUGGAUUCAUA